rnacentral:rRNA from 1 species
UACAGAGGUCUCAAGCGUUGUUCGGAUUCAUUGGGCGUAAAGGGUGCGUAGGCGGCGCGGUAAGUCGGGUGUGAAAGCGCGGGGCUCAACCCUGCGUCGGCCAUGAAUACUGCCGCGGCUGGAGCACUGUAGAGGCAGGCGGAAUUCCGGGUGUAGCGGUGGAAUGCGUAGAGAUCCGGAAGAACACCGGUGGCGAAGGCGGCCUGCUGGGCAGUUGCUGACACUGAGGCGCGACAGCGUGGGGAGCAAACAGG